rnacentral:tRNA from 1 species
UCCUCAGUAGCUCAGUGGUAGAGCGAUCGGCUGUUAACCGGUUGGUCGUAGGUUCAAGUCCUACCUGGGUUG